rnacentral:rRNA from 1 species
UGGGGAAUCUUGGACAAUGGGGGCAACCCUGAUCCAGCCAUGCCGCGUGAGCGAAGAAGGCCUGCGGGUUGUAAAGCACUUUCAAUUGGGAAGAAAAGCGAGCGGCUAAUACCCGGUUGUCUUGACGUUACCUUUACAAGAAGCACCGGCUAACUCCGUGCCAGCAGCCGCGGUAAUACGGAGGGUGCGAGCGUUAAUCGGAAUUACUGGGCGUAAAGCGCGCGUAGGCGGUUCGGUGAGUCGGAUGUGAAAGCCCCGGGCUUAACCUGGGAAUUGCAUUCGAAACUGCCGGGCUAGAGUAUGGGAGAGGGAAGCGGAAUUUCCGGUGUAGCGGUGAAAUGCGUAGAUAUCGGAAGGAACAUCAGUGGCGAAGGCGGCUUCCUGGACCAAUACUGACGCUGAGGUGCGAAAGCGUGGGUAGCGAACAGGAUUAGAUACCCCCGUAGUCC